rnacentral:rRNA from 1 species
UACGUAGGUGGCAAGCGUUAUCCGGAUUUACUGGGUGUAAAGGGCGUGUAGGCGGGAAAGCAAGUCAGAUGUGAAAACCACGGGCUCAACCUGUGGCCUGCAUUUGAAACUGUUUUUCUUGAGUACUGGAGAGGCAGACGGAAUUCCUCGUGUAGCGGUGAAAUGCGUAGAUAUGAGGAGGAACACCAGUGGCGAAGGCGGUCUGCUGGACAGCAACUGACGCUGAGGCACGAAAGCGUGGGGAGCAAACAGG